AAAUCACAUUAUGGUUCCUUAGAUCGUUUCUUCCUACUUGGAUAACUGUGGCAAUUCUAGAGCUAAUACAUGCAGUGAGCCUGAAGCCCUUUGGGCGACGGGUGCUUUUAUUAGACCAAGAUCGAUCGGGUUUCGGCCCGUAUUGUGUGGUGACUCUGGAUAACUUUGUGCUGAUCGCAUGGCCACGAGCCGGCGACGUUUCUUUCAAGUGUCUGCCUUAUCAACUUUCGAUGGUAGGUUACUUGCUUACCAUGGUUGUUACGGGUAACGGAGAAUCAGGGUUCGAUUCCGGAGAGGGAGCCUGAGAAACGGCUACCACAUCCAAGGAAGGCAGCAGGCGCGCAAAUUACCCACUCCCGGCACGGGGAGGUAGUGACGAAAAAUAACAAUACGGGACUCUUUUGAGGCCCCGUAAUUGAAAUGAGUACACUCUAAAUCCUUUAACGAGGAUCAAUUGGAGGGCAAGUCUGGUGCCAGCAGCCGCGGUAAUUCCAGCUCCAAUAGCGUAUACUAAAGCUGCUGCGGUUAAAAAGCUCGUAGUUGGAUCUCAGUUCCAGACGAGUAGUGCAUCUACCCGAUGCGACGGCUCGGACUGAACAUCAUGCCGGUCCUUUCUUGGUGCACUUCAUUGUGUGCCUCGAGAAGGCCGGUGCUUUUACUUUGAAAAAAUUAGAGUGCUCAACGCAGGCGAGUCGCCUGAAUAAACUUGCAUGGAAUAAUAGAACAAGACCUCGUUUCUGUUCUGUUGGUUUUUGGAAUACGAGGUAAUGAUUAAGAGGGACAGACGGGGGCAUUC
rnacentral:rRNA from 1 species